rnacentral:rRNA from 1 species
CAGCCGCCGCGGUAAUACGAAGGGUGCAAGCGUUAAUCGGAAUUACUGGGCGUAAAGCGCGCGUAGGUGGUUUGUUAAGUUGGAUGUGAAAUCCCCGGGCUCAACCUGGGAACUGCAUCCAAAACUGGCAAGCUAGAGUAUGGUAGAGGGUGGUGGAAUUUCCUGUGUAGCGGUGAAAUGCGUAGAUAUAGGAAGGAACACCAGUGGCGAAGGCGACCACCUGGACUGAUACUGACACUGAGGUGCGAAAGCGUGGGGAGCAAACAGGAUUAGAUACCCGUGUAGUCCCUGUCUCUUAUAC